AUUGAACGCUGGCGGCAGGCCUAACCCAUGCAAGUCGAACGAGUGGCGGACGGGUGAGUAAUGUCUGGGAAACUGCCCGAUGGAGGGGGAUAACUACUGGCAACGGUAGCUAAUACCGCAUACCAUCGGAUGUGCCCAGUUGGGCUUAGCUCGUAGGUGGGGUAACGGCUCACCUAGGCGCCGAUCCCUAGCUGGUCUGAGAGGAUGACCAGCCACACUGGAACUGAGACACGGUCCAGACGCCUACGGGAGGCAGCAGGGGGGAAGAUUGCACAAUGGGCGCAAGCCUGAUGCAGCCCUGCCGCGUGUAUGAAGAAGGCCUUCGGGUUGGAAAGUACUUUCAGCGAGGAGGCGUUACUCGAAGGAGAAGCACCGGCUAACUCCGUGGCAGCAGCCGCGGUAAUUC
rnacentral:rRNA from 1 species